rnacentral:lncRNA from 1 species
UUUCAUACAACAUGCCGAGACUUUCUGAUGCCUGAUUGAUAUUUCCUUCAAUCCUCAUUGCUUCCCUUAUCUAACCAACAAAUUUAUGCCUCGCCCGACCCCCAUCAACGCAUUGUUGGAUUAGUGUCUAAGUCCAUAACUAUUUUGGUAUGUACUUGACCUGAUGGUGCAUGGUCCUUUUAGGUUGCCUUCACCAAAGCAACUUGAUAGGAUGAAUUAUGGAGAGAAAGGAUUAAAUAUGAUUUAUUAAUAUAUUAUGAGAAUAAUAUAUUAAAGGAGAAAUCAUAUUGUUUAAUUAAUAUUAGUCAAGAAUUAAUUAGUAAUUAGUUUUGUGACUAAAAGAGAUUAAUUAAACUUAAGGGACUGGAAUUGUAAUUAUAAGAUAAUUACAAUUGGGCCAUGGAUUCCCUUAUAUUAAGGAGUGGACGAAUUCUAUGGUGAAGCCCAUAAGAAAUCGUCCAAGUCCUUAAGGAAAGGGGUCCAUGGGUUGCUUAGGGCUUAAGCAUCCAAUUUAGGGUUUCCUUGUUAGAUAACCCUAAUAGUCAAACUAUAUAUACAUCCCUUAUGACCCAAAAACGUGGCUAAGACUUAUUCUAGGGUUUCACACGUUUUAGGGCAGCCUCCUUCAUCUCUCCUCCUCAUCCUCUUGCUCGUGGUGUUUGUGAACCAUUAGAUGAGUGAUAUUUGUGACUCUAAGCUUUCUAAAGUCAUUAGAAGGAGGAAUUAUGAUUGUUAUUGCUACAUAACAAUCAAGGUAAUAUCUUAAAUCCAUUCUUAUGUUAAUAUGAUUACUUGUAUGCUAGAAUUAGGGUUUAUAGUCUUGGAUAACUUGCAUGUACAAUAGAGAAACCUAGAUCCAAGCAUUAGGGUUUGUAUGAGCACAUAGGAUGUUCUUAGGACCAAAACCCAUCAGUGGUAUCAGAGCCUAGAUUGGUUUCUAUUGUAUUGAUGCUUGGUAUGUUGAAAAAAAUUUGAUUUUUGUGUUUCUGGGGGCUGAACUCGCCGAGUUUUUUAGAUGAACUCGCCGAGUUCAUGCUAACUCGACGAGUCCAUGCCUGACUCGACGAGUCGGCUGGUCAGAAUGAGGGAAAACCGGGAUUUCUUGCUGUUUUUGCUUGAGGAUACUUGCCUUAUCAUAUUAGAUCAAUAUAAAUCCGAUUUUUUGAUAUAUAUGACUAUAUUCUUGAUCUAAUUGAAGAUAUUUAUCAAUUAAUAAAAUAUUUGUUUCCUUAUGUGAUAAUUGAUUAAUUAUUUUGAUUAAAUUGGUAAAUUGUUUUGCAAGAAAUCAUUAAAUAAAUCAAAUAUGGAUAAUUAUGUGAUUAAAUGUUAAUUUAGAUUAUUUGUUAUUUGAUCCUUGUGUUAUGAAAAGUUUCAUAUUUUCCCCUUUAGGUUUUAUAGUUUAAAUUUGAACUCAAAAGUUUUGUUGUUUUGAAAUUUAAAUAGUUGAAACCCUAAUGUUUUGAAAAAGGUUUCAAAACUUGCCCUCAAGUUUUGGAAUUUAAAUUUUGAUUAAUAGUUUAAUUUUGAUGUAUAUUUAAAUUCUAAACCCUAAUGUUUUGAAAUGUUUCAAAACUUGCCCUCAAGUUUUGGAAUUUAAAAGUUGAUUAAAAGUUUAAUUAGGAAUGUUAAAUUCUAAAACCCUAGUAUUGUUUUGAAAAAGUUCAAAUCACACCCUUAUGGUUUUAUUAAUUAAUUAAGGUGUAUAAUUAAAAGAGGUUUAAUAAAUCCAUAAAAGUUUUGGUUUACAAUUUAAUUGAAUUAAAAGUAUAAUUGUUAAAUUUGACCACCUAGUAUUUUAAAAGUGUAAAAUACACCCUAUACUAUAUAUAACAUUAAAAGUCUAACAUUAUAUAUAUGUAUGAGUAAAAGUCAGUCUUACCGUUAGUAGGCCUCAUUCACGAAGUUGGUCUAUAAGGGUGUUUAAGGAAAUUGCUUAUAAAAUGGCGAAUGAAUGGGUAUCCACUCUUACCCACCGUACUCUUGACUAGUGGAGGGUCGUUAGCCGAACGGGUAGGAUAGGACGAAACCUUCCAUUAUAAGUAUGGUAAAGUACAAAGGUAACUAAAUGUUUUCAUAAAAUUCCCAAUCUUAGUUACUUAGGCAAAAGUGAAUUGAUGCAAUUCCAUGAAAUUACACUUUGUGCCCUUGCGAAGACGUUAGUGGAGCGUGUGUGGUUUACCGGCACACUAAAUGGUUCUAAGCAAAGGUAGCAAAGGGUGACUCAAUGUUUGUCAUAGUUCGGUGGAGCGUGUGUGGUUUACCGGCACAUCGAAUAGGUGACUGUAACAUGUGAGGGCACCAUGUAAGUUUGCAUGGUUAUUCACACCCGCUUUGUGAUCCUCGGCAUCCCAGUCACAAACAAGAGGGGCAUAUCGAGAUUUAAACAUGCCAUUGAAAGUUCAAUGAAUCUCAAAGGAUCUAGGAGUUUUCAUAGAUUUAAAACUUAAAUUUCUUUUUCGUUUUUCAUGGUGGAAAUUAGUGAAUCGUCAUUCACUUACCUUCAAAUAUUCUGCAAUUAGGGUUACGGCAUCCCUCUCCCGAGUUGUAGAAUAUUGUGUUGGGUCCUAGCCUUAGUAUUUCAUUUGGGUGAUUUACUAAGGACUCAAUCAAUCAACUAACUUGAAUUUGUUUUUCUCCCGUUUUGUAGAUGUCAAAGUUCGACAACUAUGGUCUUCCCAAAUCCCGUGGAACAAGCAUUCCACAUGAAGAUGAUAUUCCACGAUUCGAUCGAGGAACAAGAAAUCAUGCUUCACUUCCUCCUCCUCCUCCAAUUAUUCUCCCUAACCCACAAGUUCAAAGGCUUGAAAAGUUCAAGAUCACUCAAGCCCUUUUGGCAAGUAAACAUAAAGAAGGAAAGUCGGUGUGUGCACACGUCCUAGGGAUGAAGUCACACAUUGAUAGGUUAAGAAUGUUGGGAUCCGUUGUCUGUGAGGAAAUGGCUGUUGAUUGGGUUCUUCAGUCACUUCCUAACUCAUAUAGUGAGUUCGUAAGAGAGUACUAUAUGAUGAACCGCGACGUGACCCUUAUAGAUCUCACCUAUAUGCUUAUUGCUGCUGAAUCAGCAAUGGUUUGGCGCAAUAGAAAAGCAAAGUUGAUUGGUGAAUCUGCCUUCAAGACCUCUAUGGAUAUAGACAAUGGCAACGAAAGACAUGCUAUGAUCGAAAAGUUUGAUCAUAAGAGAAAGGCAAUGUCUGAAGUAGUUCCAUGUCAUGUUCCAAAAGAGUCAAUUUGCUUUUAUUGCCAAGAGAAAGGGCAUUGGAGACGAAGCUGCCCCAUUUACCUAAGAGAUCUAAGAGAUGGGAGAGUCGAAACGUAUGGCUCUAAUAUAGGUAAAAUCCAUUAACUAACUCUUUUAAGCUUCUAUUCUAGAUUCUUAAUACAUAAUGUGAUAAGAUUACAAUUGAUGUUUUGUAGGAUCGAAGAAAAGAAAGGAAGCUUAAGGGAAGAAGUGAGCAGAAUCUAACCGUGAAGGAAUGGAUUUCGAUCGCAUUUCUCGAAGAUUAGAUUCUUGAGCUACUACUUAGAGUUAGAAUUAGAUUGCUAAGAAAGAUGUAUUAGCAUAGUUUUUCAAUGAAUUGCAUUGUAAGGACAAAUUUUUCCCCAAUAAAAUAAAUUUUGAUUUUAUAUUAUUUAUUUAUCCUUGCAAUGGCAUGCAUGAAAAUUGAUGUUUGAAGGUUUCUAAUAUUAGCAAUAAUGGAUUUGACUCUUAAUUAUGUUGUUUAUGGAAAUGUCGAGAAUUUACCAAAUAAGGAGAGUUUCUUAUCGCCUAUGUUUCAAUUGGACAGAAACUUGGAAUCAUGCAACUUGGUUGCACGAAGAAUGAGAAAUUUCAUAUUUGGAAAUUAGACUAAUUCAUUGACAAAGUGUCAAGUGAAGGACUAGGAGAUCGAGUACACAAAGUUGCGUGUUGAUCAAGUCCACCAUAAGAGUAACAAAGAUAUUCGUCAUGAUUUACUAAAGGUUUAGUAAAUAUGAUUAUACUUAUAAGAUUAAGUGUAAUUCUGAAUUGAUUGAAAAGGUUUAAAUCAAUAGCAGAACGAAUAAGAAGAAUCAAGUAGGCAGAAAGAUAAAAGUUUCUCCAUUCUAAGAAGAAGGGAGAGUACCUUUUAUGCUUUAUGAUAGGUCUUAAUGAUUAAGAACCAUAUCUCAAUUGAUCCUCUAAGUGAGUCUUAGUACAAUUGUAUGUCUAAGAAGAGGAAUCAAGAAUUGAAGAAAUGGUUAAAUCAAGAAGUCAAUCAUACUUCGUUCCAAAACAAGUCUUAGAGUUAAGAUUGUGACAUUGAGUGAUAAGUAUUAAGAAGGUUUAUAACAUUCAUUAAAUGUGGAAAGUUGUGAUGUCUUGGAUAAGACAAAGACCAACUAGGACCAAUUUAUGAAGUGUUUUGAUAAAAGCUACACUAACUCUUGAAUAUUUGUUUGUCAAGAAAUGGUUAUUGACAAGAGAAUCUUAUAUGUCAAGGAGUCAGUGGGAGUCUUAAUGGUCUUGAAAGGUUUCAAGAACAAAUCAAAUAAACCUUAUCGAUCAUCACUAGCACACGAGUUGAGGUUUACAACCUAUCGUGUUGACAUUAUUUUGAUUCUGUGCCAAUCCAAUCGAGUUAAUUAUGCAUGUGAGUUCUAUGAGUUCUCAUUUUGAACGCAUAAAAGGCAAAGCACCUUAAUCAAUGAAAGGUACAUUGAUAGGAAAGGGUGAGCUGCUUAACUACUUGGAAGACAUGGUGGGCAGCUGUGCUACCAUAAGGCAAGAAAUCAAGAUUAAGAAAGUUCGGUCCAUAUGAGUUUGAAUUUGUCGUAAACUUUGGUUUUAACAAAUUCACAUGGAUAGGAACACAUACACCGUUUAAAUCUAAGUGUCAUAAGAUUUCCUCCUUCAUGAAAAUGAUUGUGAGGAAAUGCUUUCACUAAGAAAGAUUUUAAGAAGAUAGUGAUUGUAAAAUUGCAUUCUCGAAUUCGAUUAUGGUUACGGUAUCCCUUUCCAUAAUUUGAAUUGUGAGGUUUGGCAAUUAGUCUUAAUUGUUUAGACACACAUAUGAACUAUCGAAGGCAAAGGUGUAUAAGUUCAAGAAGCCUUGAUAAAAGAUUAUCAAAGCACUAAGUAUUAGAAACAUGAACUUAAGAAAUUCAAUAAGUAUUGUUUUUCUGAAAGUUAAGAUGUUUAUGAAUACAUGUCGAAGCUAGUGGGAGCAUAAGUGUUAUGUUUUAUAAUAAUCAUCAUGAUAGUGGGAGCAUAAAUGUUAUGAUUGUAUGAUUAUUAAGGCACGUAUUGCAAGUUGGCAAUAUUAAUUAUAGAAAACAAGAGUUAUACCUUGCAAAGUCGUAAGGGUUGAAAAGUUGUUUUGCUAUAAUUAAGGGAGAGAAUAUUAUGCUUCAUUUCAAAUCUAAAGGAUUAGGUUGAGAAAUGUUAAUAAAUUUAGUCAAAGGUACAUAGUGUGUUCUUAAAAUUUCGAUUAUGAUUACGACAUUCCUCUUCACAAUUCGAAUUUUGAGAACAUAGCAAAUAAAACAUUAUGCGUCGUGUCCCAUACGCUUCGGGUAUAGGAUCGAUUGCAAAUGCUUUAAUGUUUGACCAUUCUAAAAUUUUCCAAAUGUCUAGCGCAUUUAGAGGGAAAAAGGACUAGAAUCGGUUUUGACUAAAAUAAUUAAACAACUAUCAAAGGACAAUCCAAAGUUCGACGAGGAUUGGUCGCUUGUGAGUAGUUGGAAGUAUAGUAUUGGAAAAUAUGGAAAUGUUUCCAUAUUGGAUGGACCAUAUCGACAUUAUUAUGAAUAGAUAAGAUUCUAUUAAGAAUGAGUUGUCAUAUGGAAAAUAUGGAAACGUGUCCAUAUUGGGAAUUGAAUAUUGAAAAUCUAUGUCUAGAUUAGAAACUUUUAUGCAAAAGGAUGUUCAAAGGAAUGUACUUUGAGUGAGAGACAUCAUAUCUAAGGAAUUGUCUUGUAACAAUCUCCGAUAGAGGACUUUGUAAUAUCAUUGGCAAUAGUCUUUGUGACUUUGGUGCAGUGACAUUACGAAAGGAUCAUUGCAUAAAAUGUUAGAAUCUAGCAUAUUCUAUAAGUAGCAAGAAUUUGAUAUUCUUUCACUUAUGAAAAAGGAUUUGGAGUUGUGAAAUGAGAAUGAUUGGAAAUGUGUUCAAUUUGAUCUAUUUCACAAAGUAAGAACCAUAGGUAAACAUUGUGUGCAUGCUAAGAGCAUGGGACAAGUGUAAUAAUUCAAGUAAGAAGUUGAUUACCCGAAACGACAAAUAAUGAGUAAUCGAUAUGGUGAUAAAUAAAAGGUGUUUUAUUUAUACUCAAAGGUUUGAGGCCAUAUGGGAUUAGUAUUAUUCUUGUGUUUCACUUUGCAUGUUUUGACUUCCUGAAUAAUUUAAUUGGUUAAGAACAGUCGAAUUAUUCGAACGGGCCACAGUCGUUCAUAUGUUGGAAGUAGGUAUGAAUGAAGACUGUCGUGAAUUGGUGUGUGGAUUGUCUAAAGAGUAUUAGACAUAAGCAAAUGUUUGCUGCAACGUUCAUGAGUGCUUAUGAAUAUGAUUUGAGCAUUGGAUUAAACCCACGCUCACUUGGAUCACUCCAUGAAUUGUAUCACGAGUGAUUGGUGAGACGAUAACAUCUUAUAUUCUUGAAACCGAGAUGUGUGAGUUGUAUCUUGCAAAUCGGUUGCACAUUGAUAAUAUGUAAACGCACUAGUAACUUGGUGUUAUAAAACAUAUUGUUGUGUGUGAUUCGGUGAGUGAGUGCAAGCAAGCAUUGUAUCAAAGUUUAUCCGUUCCUUUUAUCCAAAGUAGGAUAAAAGCGAUAUCUUUGGGCCCCUCGAUGAUUUAGUGAUGACAAACGUAAAUGCUCGGCCGGGCUAGGGCUAAUUUGAUUUGUUCAAUUAGUCAGUCGUCAUAAAUCGGGAAUCGAGAUAUAGUACAAAGAGAAUGAUUUGAAAUCAUGUCUCAUAUGAUAUCUAGAAUGGAGGAAUAUAUGAUCCCUUAUCUAAAGGACACGCGUAUCUGAUAGGAUCAGAGUUGACAGCGGCUUUGGAAAGCUACGAUUGCAGAUCAGGAUCUGAAGUCAUACGCAUAAUAGUUAUUAGACUUAUCCAAGUGGGAGACUGUUGGAUUAGUGUCUAAGUCCAUAACUAUUUUGGUAUGUACUUGACCCGAUGGUGCAUGGUCCUUUUGGGUUGCCUUCACCAAAGCAACUUGAUAGGAUGAAUUAUGGAGAGAAAGGAUUAAAUAUGAUUUAUUAAUAUAUUAUGAGAAUAAUAUAUUAAAGGAGAAAUCAUAUUGUUUAAUUAAUAUUAGUCAAUAAUUAAUUGGUAAUUAGUUUUGUGACUAAAAGAGAUUAAUUAAACUUAAGGGACUGCAAUUGUAAUUAUAAGAUAAUUGCAUUUGGGCCAUGGAUUGCCUUAUAUUAAGGAGUGGAAGAAUUCUAUGGGGAAGCCCAUAAGAAAUUGUCCAAGGCCUUAAGGAAAGGGGUCCAUGGGUUGCUUAGGGCUUAAGCAUCCAAUUUAGGGUUUCCUUGUUAGAUAACCCUAAUAGUCAAACUAUAUAUACAUCCCUUAUGACCCAAAAACGUGGCUAAGACUUAUUCUAGGGUUUCACACGUUUUAGGGCAGCCUCCUUCAUCUCUCCUCCUCAUCCUCUUGCUCUUGGUGUUUGUGAACCAUUAGAGGAGUGACAAUUGUGACUCUAAGCUUUCUAAAGUCAUUACAAGGAGGAAUUGUGAUUGUUAUUGCUACAUAACAAUCAAGUUAAUAUCUUAAACCCAUUCUUAUGUUAAUAUGAUUACUUGUAUGCUAGAAUUAGGGUUUAUAGUCUUGGAUAACUUGCAUGUACAAUAGAGAAACCUAGAUCCAAGCAUUAGGGUUUGUAUGAGCACAUAGGAUGUUCUUA